UUAUAAUAUUUUUAUGAUAAGAAUAUAAAAUUUAUUUUAAAUUUAAUAUUUUUAUGCUAUGAAAUUUGUAAUUGUAAAUUUGUAAUACUUUUAUAAAUUGCGCGUAUUUUGACCAAUCAGCAACAUUUUUUUUUGAAUACGCAGGCGCGCAUAGAUAUGUUAUAACUUCUAACUGAAAAAUUCGAUAGAAAGAUAAGAAAAAGAAAAGAUAAAUAGAAAGCGCAUUUUUUAUCUAUCAAACUUUGCCCAUGUUUUGUUAAUAAAGCUUAUUAAUAAUAUUCGUGCCGAAUAGAUAUUGACAUAAUUAGAUAGAAUAUAAUAGUAGAAUUAAAUAAAAAUUAUUACAUAAUAUAAUAUAAAAAUUAAAUGGACAAACGUUCAUAUGCUCGUGCGCACAUCCAUCUAGUGAUAAUUAUAAAGAAAGAGGAGAGGAAGGGAAUAUUAGUGCUAUAUAUAUAUUGCCUUAUUCAGUUUCUUGUCGCACAUGAUUCAUGUAUCGAAUAGAAAAUCUUUGUAUUAAAUUAUAUUGAAAUGUUUGUAAAAUUGUUACUCGAUACAUUUGAAUCAAAUAUUAAAAUUAUAGUGUAUAUUAUGAGUAUAUUAUAUAUUUUUAUUAGUAAGGAAUUUAUAUAUAUUAUUUUUAUAUUUAUAUAUAAAAGUAGGGAAUUUUAUUUACAAUUCGGUAUAGUACAAUAAAGAUUAAUAAACACGUAUCUACGUGUACAAAAUAUAAAAAUAUAAAUUUCGAAAAUAACAAAUUACAAUGAACACUGUAUUAUUAUUCUUGUAUUAUAUUCAUAUAUAUUCUUAAUAUAUCAAUUGUACUAAUUUGUUGAUUAUUUAUCGAAUGUUGUAUAUGUAAUACAUUAAUCGAUAUUCGAACUAUAUUAUACAACUUAUUAAUGUAUAAUGUAACGUUAUAAUUAUAUAUUUUUCAUUUGUACUACAUAAUAAGAUUAUAAUAUAUGUAUAAUAUUAAUCUUCUUUAUAAAAAUGUUAUAAAUGUA